AGAGUCGUCCAAACGAUCGCUGGAUCAAUUCAUGAUCCGGAGGAAAGUCCGAACACCGCAGGGCAGGGUGCUCCAUAACGUGGAGUCACGGCGACGUGAAGGAAAGUGCAACAGAAAGUAUACCGCCUUGGAGUGUCUUCCCUGAAAAGGGGAGAUAUCUUCAGGGUAAGGGUGAAACGGUGCGGUAAGAGCGCACCAGUUCUUCGGGUGACCGGAGAAGCUAUGUAAACCCCACCCGGUGCAAGACCGAAUAGAGGAGCGUUUGAGGGCGGCCCGUUCGAGCUCCAGGGUAGGUCGCAAGAGGUGCCGGGCAACCGGCAUCCACAGAUGAAUGAUCGUUACCCGGUUCGGGGUAACUCGACCCGGGGACAGAAUUCGGCUUAUGGACGGCUCUGACC
rnacentral:RNase_P_RNA from 1 species